UACGAAGGGGGCUAGCGUUGCUCGGAAUCACUGGGCGUAAAGGGUGCGUAGGCGGGUCUUUAAGCCAGGGGUGAAAUCCUGGAGCUCAACUCCAGAACUGCCUUCGAUACUGGAGAGCUUGAGUCCGGGAGAGGUGAGUGGAACUGCGAGUGUAGAGGUGAAAUUCGUAGAUAUUAGGAAGAACACCAGUGGCGAAGGCGGCUCACUGGCCCGGUACUGACGCUGAGGCGCGAAAGCGUGGGGAGCAAACAGG
rnacentral:rRNA from 1 species